CAGAUGCAGAGGUGCAGGUGCACCGUGGUGCGCGAGCCCUGGAUCGGCCGCACCAGCAGGAAGUGCCCCCUCCCACCUCCCGGAGGUGAUGCCGCCUGGUGACUGCAUAUCCUCGAACGGUGGACGCUGAGGUUAUUUAUGGGAAGUGUGCAGAGUUCUGACACAUUAGCAGGCUCCAGGAACCGCCUCGACUCCUUCUCCAGCUCCAGGCCAUCCUCACACUGUCUUCCCAGGGCCUCUACCUGUGCACAGUCUCGGGUCCUCCAGGUUGAGCUCCAAGCCGGGUGGGCACUGACAGGUGUAGCUGCCCUGGGUGUUGAUGCAGAUGCUGCGGCCUUUACAGAUUUUGGGUUUCUGCUGACAUUCAUCCACAUCUGCAAGGGGAAGGAGAGGAUGAUGGAUGCCUGCAGCUGUGGACAGCCUUCUGGGCUGGGGGGUUGGCCACAUUUCCUGGCCUAGAAGCAUCCAGAAGGGCCCGCUCUCUCUUCCCCGGUGAGUGGGUCUUUUCUAAUUCACAUGGAGGCAUCCUAUAGGUGAGCAUGGC